CUCCCCCUCCUCAGAAAGCCUCCUUAGGGGCUCAAUCCAUUUCUUCUGUCAGGAGAUGGAGGCACAGGGAGAGAAAGAAGUGGGAGAGGAGGAUGCUGGAGAGGCAGGGAGGUGGCACAAAUGAAGGCAGAGGGUCCCAUCACUGACUUUCAAUCAACACAGUGCUGCUUCUGUUCACAAAGGUGGUUUCUCUGCUCUCUCAUUUUGCCUGAAGGCCUGUUAUAAGCUAUAGGCCAGAAACUAGGUCUUCUGAAAUUAACAACAAAGAAGAGCCUCCGAGCCCUGGGAGGAAGGACUGUAUCAGAUACUCCAAUUAUUGAUACUGCAAGAAAUACACUCACGGCUGCAGGUUUCCCAGAGAAGCUAAUCUUACCACUGUGGGUGGAGACCUGUCAGACUGUACCUGGGGCAUCGUUCGGAACUUCCAGGACUCCUGUAACCCAGCAGUAGAAGACUUUGUGAAAGCAGACAGCUGAUCCAAGGUCUGACAAAACAAGAAUUGAUUAUGUGGAUGAUGAGGGAAAUAUUGUCUUUGUUGGCAUUGUCUUUAAUGUUCUAUCUUUGAAGGGCAUACAAAGAAGCCCUUUGCCUGUAUUCUUGGGGCAUCUGUAGCUGGCUAUAUUUGAGCAAAGUGGAAUGUAAUACUGUCUGAAUGGUGCCUUAUUCCAAUUGACCUCCCAGAAUUCAUGAAAGGCAGUCUAAGGAAAUCUUAAUAGAGGUAACAAACUAAUGAGUCACAAAGGAAUGUAUACACUUUAAAUAAUGUCACAAAGGAAUGUAUAUACCUUAAAUAAUGUCAUCCAACUGGUAGACUACCUUAUAGCAUUCUUGUGAGGAUUAACCUAAUAAUCUGUGAAAAAGGUUUACUGCAGUGCCUGGCCUGAAGUAGUGGCUCAAUAAAGGUUAUUUUUUAAGGUUAUCACCACUAACAUAAUUGUCUUUGAUUCUCAUAAUAACUCGGUAAGGUAGGAGCGUAAAAAUGAGGAGACAAUCAGCAGACUGGAGUAAGAAGGGACAUUUCUUCCAGAAGCAUGCAUAAUUGCUGGUCACAUCUCAGUCACUUGUUGCUUCUAGACCACAAGGGGAAAGGUGCCUUCUGAGCUUAUUCAGGGCACAACAUGAGCAACUGUACAUGGUAGUCCUAGUUUAGAAGACGACAUUUGCGUAAAUAUCUGAAGGUGAUGAAGUAGCAAGCCUUGCAGACAUUUUGGAGGAAAGCGUUCCAGGCAGAGAGAAUGGCAUGAGCAAAGACCUCAGACAGGCACAUGUCUGGUGUGACUGAAGAAUGGUCAGGAGGCCAGUAUGGUAAAGGGACUUGAGUGAGAGGGAGAAAUGGCAAUGAGAUUAGGAAGUUGUAGGGGGCCCUGAGCAUUUGGCUCUCUAGGCCCUUGUGGGGUCCUUUUUUUUUAACCCCAAGUGAGAUGAGAGCCAUUAGAGGGUAGUGACAUAACACUAAAAGGCUCACUCAGGCUAUUGUGUUAAGAGGUAAACAUAGAAGCAGGGAGACCAGUAGGAGGCUUGCAAAAAUCCAAGGUAAUUUCGAUGUUGUAGGCACUGGGAUACAACAAUGAAUAAAACCAAGGCCAGGCCUUCGUGUUGCUUACAUUCUAGUUUGGAGAAGUAGACAAUAAAACAAAGAAGCAGGUUGGUACGCAGUAUGUCAUGAAGAUGAGUGGGUCUAGAGUGAUGGGAACAUGUCUGCCUCUAGCUGAGAUGGAACAGUGGCAGAUCAAUGCUCCUACUUUUAACUACUAAAACAGCCAGAAACAAACAUUAAAAAAAUGUUUGUGAAGUCUUCUAAAUGCAACAAAAUUGGGGACAAAAUCCUGAAGAAAAUGGAAUCACAGAGAGAUAUAUUUGUCAGCUGCUUUUACUCUUGGGCAUUGGCCCCAGUGUCAGACAAGAGGUUCCAUUACAAUAUAAACUGGAUCAUGUCAUUCCUUUGGUCCACACCUUCCCAUAAAUACUGAUCUAAUUCAGCAUAAAGUCAAUGUCUUUUCAGUGACGCACAGACCCUACACUUGGACCCCCUUAUUAGCUCUCUAACCAUUUCCUAUUACGAUUUCCCUCUGCUCAUUUGGCUUCAGCCACCCUGAGCCUUUUGCUGCUCCUCAAACGUGCCAAGCACAUGUCUGACUCAGGGCCUUUGCCCGCUGUGCUUUCUAGCUGGAACGCUCUUCUCCAGCCAUUAACAUGGCUAUCUCCCAUCCUUCUUUACUCAAUGCCAUCUGUUCAAUGAUUCCUUCCCUGACACACUAUUUAAAUUACAUCACUCCCAGAACUCCUUAUACCCCUUCCUUUCUUUAUUUUUUUUCUCUAUAGCAUUAAUCACCAUAGUCUUUAUUACACACUUACUUACUUGUUUGGAUUACUUUCUAUUUCCUUCCCCUGGAAUGUACGCUAUGGGGGGAAUUUAUUUUUAUGUUUUACUCACACUACCUAAAACAGGGAUGGGCCCAUUUCAGGCCCUUAAAAAAAUAUCUGUCAAAUAAAUGACUGAAUGAAUAAAUGAACAAGUGAAUGAACUGCAUACCACCAACACUGAAAAAUUUCAACCAAAUAGUUAAAUUAACUUGAAAUUGAAGGAGAUGGCAGAAGCUGACACGAAAUUCUCCUUCCUAGGAAGUUUAGUGUUAUAGGAGGAGAUUCUGGCAAACCUCACUAAUAACCACUUAAAUUUUAAAGUUAAAGCCUGACAACAUGGGUGAACUGUAAGAAAGUCAACAAUAACUUUGCCUGCCACAGAUCAACCCUGAAGGGGCCAGAAGGAAAAGGAUGUGGUCAGGCUAUUUUUCUGACUUGGUUUUCAAAUAGAAACUUGAUCUUGUCUCAAUGUGUUUCAAGGCUCCUACCAUGGAAUGAAAUAGUCUGCGGAAAGAAGUCUCAGUGAACGACCUACAAGGAGCCAUUUGCACAUCUGCAGACAAACCAGAAAAGUGAUGGAAAACAUAAAACUCUGUUCAGUCUCACCAAAUAGUCCUUGAGACUUUUGAAAUUUUUUGUCAUUUAUCUUUUCCCCCAU